CCGACCUGCCCGGCGUCCCUUCUGAGCAUGCGCGAAGCGGGUUGUUCGAAGGCGCGUCUGGGUCCGAGCCGGCGGGGAAGGGGCUGGGAGAUCGCGCAUGCGCCCUCGGCCCCCGAGCGCCUCAGCGAGGGCCGUCGAGGCUUAAAUACAAAGUAAAUAAGAAUGUCAAUAGUCACAGUCCAGCUUGGUCAGUGUGGUAAUCAGAUUGGUCAUGAAGUGUUUAACGUUAUCUGCGGAGACGUCCAUGGCACACAUGGGUUGUGUUCCAAGAAGGAGAAUGGAUCCUACCAUGAUGCUUGCAAAGAACGUUUUUUCAGUGAGGAGGAAUCUGAAGUUCCUGUUGCCCGGGCUGUGCUUGUUGACAUGGAACCGAAAGUAAUCAGCCAAACCUUAUCAAUAGCCGCCAGGUCUGGCUACUGGAAAUACGAUGAUCGGUCGCACUUCUGUCAGAAGCAAGGGUCUGGGAACAACUGGGCAAACGGUUAUUCUGUCCAUGGGCCUAGACACAAAGAAGUAAUAAUGGAUCUGGUGCAAAAAGAAGCAGAGAAAUGUGAUCGACUCAGUGGAUUUUUCACAAUAAUGAGCAUGGCUGGUGGUACAGGAUCCGGCUUGGGAGCGUUUGUAACCCAGUGUUUGAGAGAUGCUUUUCCAACCUCAUUUAUACUAAACCAUGUUAUCUGGCCCUACGGCACUGGUGAGGUCAUUGUUCAAAACUACAACUCUGUUUUGACUCUGUCACAUCUGUACCAGUCUUCAGAUGCCCUUCUUGUUCAUGAAAAUGAUGUCAUCCAUAAGAUCUGUGCUCAGCUCAUGAAUAUUAAACAGAUCUCCUUCAGGGAUGUAAAUCAAGUCAUCGCACACCAGCUGGGGAGUGUUUUCCAGCCCACUUACACAGCAGAAGGUGGCUUACACUAUAGCAGAAACCCAUUAGGAGACUUAAUGGAGACAUUAGUUCCACAUCCCGAAUUCAAGAUGUUGGGUCUUCGUAACAUACCUCAGAUGCCUGAAAACUCCCUCGCUUAUAGCACAUUUAGUUGGCCUGGGCUCAUCAAACAUUUAAGGCAGAUGCUCAUUGCUAAUGCUAAAAUGGAGGAAGGUAUUGAUUGGCAAGUACGACCACCGCGUCUAGGCUCCUCCAUCCCCUCCAGUCAGUCCACAAAUAAGCCGCUGCAUUUCAAUACUUCCGUUGCUAACCUGGUUAUCCUGCGAGGAAAAGAUACGCACAGCAUAGACUUGGGAAGUUUCCGAGAUCCCUCAUUAUAUACAUCGUGGCUAAACCCUCAGGAUGCUUUUAAUGCGUGGAAAACACCGAGAGCAUUUAACAAGUACGAAAAGUCUGCUUCUUUGGUCAGCAAUAGCCAAUUCCUGCUGAAACCUCUUGACAACAUUGUAGGAAAAGCUUGGAAUAUGUUUGCUUCCAAAGCCUAUAUUCACCAGUACACCAAAUUUGGGAUUGAAGAGGAAGAUUUCCUGGACAGCUUCACAGCUCUGGAACAAGUUAUCUCCAGUUACAGCAUCCUUUGAUUUUUUUUUUUGAAAUGGACUGAAAUAGAGCUUUCCUGAAAAAACCCAGCACUGGAAAACCUUCCAUCAUCUUCCUGAAGUACAUAAAUUACUGGACUGUAGCUCUUUUUCAGUCUUGCCAGGUACAGAAGCACUAAACACCCACCUCCGCGGAGCACCUGUUCUCAAACCAGCCCUGGCACACGACACCUGGAACAGCAAACUGACUUCUUGACAAGGCUCAAGCAACCACAUGAUCGAACCUGAAGAAAAUAAAGUAAGCACUGGGGCUAAGUUCACAAUUGCUCAAGCACGGCCACAGCAAUAGCCGAGCGCUGGCGUGGCUGUGUCGACACAAGCCACAAUGGAUUCUGAUAAAUUUCACAGUAGCUUAUGGACAAGCAUAUGGACAAGCAACUGCCCAUUAGUGGUAGGGCAACUGCCAGCACCGUUAGAGUUGAGUCCAGUCCUAGUUCAUGCAGGAAAAAUAACCUGUGUGAAUUACAAGCUAUAUGGGCGCUUCAAUUCAAUAGCUAUAUCGUUAAAUAUACAGGGGAAUGCGAGUCAGUCAUGGGGCGGGUGGGGAGAACACAAAAGAGAAGGCAAAGAGGAGAAAGCAGGUAGGGUAAAUAUAUCAAAUAACUUUUCAUAUAAAAAGAUACUUGGCAUUUAUGACAAAACAUUUUGACAAUAUUAUUCUUGCAGACCACAGUAUGUAAACCAACAGCUCAGUCUGGUUUGCUGUUUUCACUCAGCUGCUCUAAUUCCUGUUUUAGGAACUCCCUCUCAAAAGGGGAAGACAAAAUAAUCAUAGUUCAACUAUCCAGCCGUACUAAAAGCACUAUACUCCUCAGGAAAAUUUGAGUUGUUUGGAAGUUCAAAACUACAUAUAAUUUUGUUAUAAAAUAUUGUUUGUUGUAUUUAAUCCCUCCCCCCGCAAAUCACAUCGCGGCAGCUCAGAGCCGGGGAACUGCUCUGAUCAAGAGGGCUUUUCUAGCGUGGUGUUUGUGUCGGUUUCAACCAUUGUCUUUAACUUGGGUAUUUUCACAGAAGAAACUGGAGGAAAGAUUGCACAAGAAGUUAAGAUAAACAGCACAGGCAAUUCAAGUUCACACAGAACAAAGGGUCAGGAAAGGAGACAGUAUGGUGAGGUUCUCCCUCCUUCAAAAGGCACAGGAUGUUUAGCAACAUAGAAAUAGUUUUCCCUAGUGUUUUCAACAGAUAUCGGACUGAGAACGUCUUCCAGUAUCAGAAAUGGGAACAGGAAACUCCACGUCUGAAAGAAUUACCAAGUCCCAGGAAUGCAUACUCGUCCUCAUCGUUCCACCGGACAGGUCCUGUUUCUUUCAGAGACGGAAAAGAAAUGCUGAGCGCACAAACCAGCUUUUUUCAAGCCUUUUCAAGAGGUGGAAAGAGCUUAAGAAACAUGUGGUCUCUUAAAACUCACAUGGUUUCUACAUGUAAGUGUGAGCCUCAAAGUAUUUAUGUGGUUUAGUUAGCAGCAGCUUCUGCAAGAGAACUGCCAGUUUCUUUCCUGACAAUAUGGAAGGAAAAUAGAGGUGUACCACAAGGUCGUUGCGUGCAGCUAGAACAGGCUUUGGGAAACACACCUCAUCUCUCAAAGAAUUUCUUAUACUUUGUCAAACGGUCUGAAGCAGAGUUUAACCUCCCCAGGCACACUGGGCACAGGUGGUGCCUGUGCUCAAGCAGCUUAGAGCUCUGGCUGAUGUCUUUCACUGAAGCGAUGCCACCUCGCAGCGAAAAGGCUUUCGGCCUUUGAAAUGCCGUGCAGAUCAGCUGGUACCCAAGUAAGGCAAUAGGUGACUACCUCCAGAUUGAUGUCAUCAGUCAUAACUGUGGUCACAAUCUUGUGUAAAACCAGGCUAACAAACACUUCAGUGUAGGUUACAGAAUCUGCCUAGAUCCGAGAUAACCUUUGAGGCAAGUUCAGUACUCCAUAUAGCAAAAAGCAGCUAAAUGGCACACCACCAAGGCUGCAAGGAAACAAAAAGGCCCAACCACCUUCCUGAGGCAGAACCCUACCUGUGUGGCCUCCUCUAUCAUAUUAGCAUUAAAAAAAACCCAACCCAAACCCAAAAGCAGUGCAUUGUGCCUUAAAUCACAUGUACAUACAUGCCUUUCCCUCCCAGGACCCCCCAGGCAGGAAUAGUCCAGCAGUCCCCACCGAAAAGACACCAACUCCCAGUUUUUACAAGGACAGAAAAGCAGUUUCUGAGGCCAUGAGAAGGGUGGGGUUUGCAGGGCAGUUAUCAGAGCAGGGAACAACACACAGAGCUGGCAAGUCCUAUCUCUUGCCUUUCAUCAGGAAAUAGCAGCUAGUUUCCUUAUUACCAGCUGCCUGGGCAACUCAUUUAAGCUUCUUGGGAAACCAGAAGAACAAUUAAGCUGGGAGUAACUCCCUUGAAACACGGAAGAUGCAGCAGUUACUUAUCCAUAUCUGAACAGCUCGUCAAAUGAGGUUUAAAGAAAGAUGACCUUUGAUUUAAUGCUAAUGUAGUCAAUGCUCUUUGAAUCAUUCCAGGAGUGAAGAAUAAUAAUUAAAAAAAAAAACCAACCCUCUAGCACAAUAAAGGGUAAAGGCAAAGUAUAGCAAAGCUUGGCCCAUUCCAUGAGUGAAGCAACAGGUUCACAUUCGCAUGUUCAUUUUACCACAGCUGAACGUCAAUAGCACUGAACAGGCUGAACGACUCCACAGCUCAACAGCCUCUUCACUUUAAACUAAGUAAGGAGCAAUAGUCACCUUUUUUGACCAAAAUGCGAUUUUGCUGAAUUCCUGAUGCGUGCCAAGAAGCCCGUCACAGAUUGCUGGGCUCUCCCUGUUUGCUUUGACCUGCAAGGUGAUACAACAGACGUCUUGAGGACACGCGAAGGGUUUCUGCAUUUGAGCUCUUUUCACUCUUCAGACAACUGACCCUGGUUGUUACAGCCUCUCCCAUUCACGCCACUACCAACUGUGUUUCGCUGCCUUUUAUAAAAGCUGAGUGGAUGCAUCAAUAAGCAAAUGAAACUGAUAAAGAAAUAAAUGCUAGUAUUUCAUGGCCUCGGUUUGACACUUGAGUUAGGAAAGUCACAGCAGGCUCAAAGAGGUUUUCAGUAUUAUCCUUUUAAAAAUUAGUUUGUAAGAGCAUAUGCAAAUAUUUACCCUCAAUCUAGCUCUGAAUGCAUUAGCAGGGUGUUUCACAGGGAAGGUGAUUGCUUCACUCCCUGUUUCCUGAAGAGGUUACAGCAAAUCGACCAAGGUUCCAGCAAUUAAACCCUCACCUGGACCGGCCUGCUCUCAGCGAGGGGUGGCAGCCCAGCAGGAAGCCCUCCCCAGCUACUGCUCUCCCGCUUUCACACUCCUCAGUGCUGCAAUCUGGAGAAAGCUGGGCAAAGUACUUACUGUUUUUACUUCCCCGCAAAAAAAAAAAAACCAACAAAAAAAACCCCAAAAGCCAACCCAAACCCCAAAUUUACAGAAAAAAAACCUAGAAUUUUAAAUCUCAGAAGAACAAUUUCAAUUACCUUUCAGUGCUGAUUACAAAGUAUAUUUUAACCAUGUGCUUCAAAGAAAACUGCAUUACUUUUACCUCCGAGGAAGGAACGCACCCAAUCACCACUUCACUUUACACCUGCAAUCAAUUUUGUUCACUAAUAUUUGUAUUUGUGCUUGAUAAUCAGGGAAACAUCCACAGCAUUUGUGCUUGCAAUUAGCGCUGCCUGCAGUGAGAGGGAGGCUGAUUCUAACAAAUCAAAUAAUGAAACCCAAAAGCACAGCAGGGAAGGACUUUCUGGAACAGCAUUAAGCCAUCUUCAAGUAUUAAUGACAAAUGUCUUUUAGCAUGAACAGGCAGCUGGGUGAUUUCAGAGGGAGCUGCUUUAACAGGAAACACAGUGUGACACUGGGAAGGAGGUAAGAAACCACAAGUGGAGACAGGGAGCAGGAGGUUUCCUGACGGUUUUGAUGGAAUGGAGGGAAGCGUGGGCCUGGACGAUUUGAUCUGGCAUGGCCUGCGCCCGGCUCAGCCUGGCGCAGACCAGCAUGACCUUUUUAGCUUUGCUUACAUCAACUCAAUUCUUGCCCUGACGACGGGUACGUCAUGACUGCCACGCCAGGCCACGCCAGCACGCCUACACCUCCCGCAGCCUUCCCAGUGUGUUGUGGUGAGGCACAACUCACAGGUCAGGCAAUAAGCAGGCAGAGAAUUAGGAGGUGGCUCGGCAGCAGUCCUACCUGGCCUCGGCUCUGCUGUGCUUCUCAGAAUUGUUAGGCUGGCAAAUAGGGCCAACUUUCUGCUUUGCUCCCUGCUUACAGCUCACUUGUGACAGCAGAGGAGACUCAACCAACCUCUGUCGCCUCAAAGUCGGCUCUGAUGUCUAACCAAACAUCACUUGUUACAAGGGUUGUUACUUCCAUGUGAUUUUCAGUAAUCCCAAGGAAAAAAGCAAGAUGCUUUAUUCGGUGUCUAAGCUGCAAGAAGAAUCAGCUAAAAAUACAGUGAUCGUGCUAAGAUUGUUCCUCUCACCACAGAGCUCGCUUUGGAUUUUUCUCCAACAGCCUUUAAGCUAGGUGAUGGACUGCUUCCAGUGCAUGACUGAAAAUAUGUACACCAAAAGGACACUUUGGAUUAAGGGAGCAAAAUACAUGUUUUCAGAUGAAAUGCUAAAGGCUCUGGGUCUUUCUCUGAAGCCACAAAAUGCAACUGCAGAUGUAUCUUCUAGAUUCCCGCCCAUUGCGGAACGCUUGGGACAAUUUCACAGCAUAACAACAAGCUCAAUGUACAGAAAUGGAAACAAUCCAGCUGAAAUAAACACCGGGAAACAGAUAUUUGUUUGUUUAUUUAAGCAAACAUAGAACUAUCCAUUGCAAAUCUCAUUAGGUUUGCAUAACUUUCAUUUCUAUUAUUUGUUACCUUUUACCAAGUCUUAUUAUCUCCCAGCGGCCGAGCAGGCAGAAGCAAGUAGAAUGACCAGUCCCUUCUUUAAAUAAUGUUAGAAAGCUUCAAAAUAACAGCAGAGCUUAUUGGAAUGGACACAUACAAACAUGAGUUGCAGAACAACAGAUAUCUAUAUUUCUCACUAUAUGCAUGUACACACAGAUUGCAAUAAAAGUGGGGGAAAGCUUUCAAUUUGUCUUCCAGUAGGCAAGGAGGUGUAAUUACGAGGAGACUCCUAAAGCAUUUAGAAGGGUACAGUUUAUUGGCUCAAGCUCUAGGAAGGUGGUUUUUUUUUCUUUUUACUCGCUCUUACACAGUCUCCCCAUUUCAAUCUGACACCAUACAGGGGCCUCUACAUGGCAUAAAUUGAAUUCACUCUCACAAAGGGCCUUAAGACACUACCAGAACUGUGUGAAGCAAAUAGCAGCGUCGCGCAGGUGAAUGGCAGGUACUAAAACUGGGGAAAGUAGCAAACCCUUGUUUACCUAGUACAAGUAUCCUGAAGAAAACCGAAACAAGCAGCUGUGAACUGCUGACCUGAUCUUACAAAGUGCAGAACUAACGUUCUGGCAGACUGAAAGCGAAGUACCAGAUAGAGCUACGCUUUUUUGCAUGCGCACUGUAUGAGAACAAGCUCUUUGCUACGCAAUUUUCAAAGACAAUCUUUAGGCCUGAAAGUGACAAAGCUGCCAGGGCCAAGAUUUAAGAAAUACUGUUCAUCUUUUACAAAUCCAUAGGGGCAAAUGAAUGGCCUUUGUGCUUUUAACCAUCUUGCAGUACCUCCUGGCACUCAGACUUUUAGAUAUUUAAAUUUAAUCUACUCAGCAGCCCUAUUGAGAGAAGUCCCUAUGAAAAGCCUCCCCACUCAUUCAGUAACACUGUUUGAAGUCCUAGAGGAAGCACAGGAGAGAAACAUUACAAACCUCACGCACAGCUGAGAUGAAACUUUAAAAGAUGUUUCUUGUGUAGACCGCUGCACUGCCCGCCUUCUGAACUCAUUUCCAUCUAAACCUAAAAACAUUUACAUGCUAUUGAUGUUCAAUGAAAACAGUUGGAGAUGGAUGAGCGAACGGUCAGAUGAGAGAUACCAAAAUGUCAGACAGCCUACCGACUGUUGUUGCCAUGAGAUCCAACAGUCAACAUCAGUCUGAUAAGCUAUCCGACAGGAUGGUACAGCCAUGGAGAUGUCACGACGGUUGGCAACACAAGAGGACAUUCAGGCAGGAUUGAACAAAAUAGGUAUUUUCACACCUUGCUCGAGACCUGCCCUAACCUAAUGCAGGGAUAACUCACCAAAACGAGAGCAAGAUCUAACCUACUUUGUGCUCAUAUGUCACCUUUUGAUAACACUAAUUCAAAGUCAAAUUAGUUCUUGUUACUUACCCCUAGGACAAAAAUAAAAAACCGUAGUUCAGAGAUUAUUAGAGUAGCAACACAUACACAGUAGCAGUGGAAUGGAUGCCUACUUACUCAAGAGGGAAAAAGAUCCAUGUUAAUGUUGGUUAUGU